rnacentral:tRNA from 1 species
UGCCGGGUCGUCUAACCAGCAGGGCAUCGCCCUUUGAAGGCGAGCGUGGUGGUGCGAAUCCAUCCCCGGCAGCCA